AGCGGAGGAAAAAAAACCAACCGGGAUUGCCUUAGUAACGGCGAGUGAAGCGGCAAAAGCUCAAAUUUGAAAUCUGGUACCUUCGGUGCCCGAGUUGUAAUUUGGAGAGGGCAACUUUGGGGCCGUUCCUUGUCUAUGUUCCUUGGAACAGGACGUCAUAGAGGGUGAGAAUCCCGUGUGGCGAGGAGUGCGGUUCUUUGUAAAGUGCCUUCGAAGAGUCGAGUUGUUUGGGAAUGCAGCUCUAAGUGGGUGGUAAAUUCCAUCUAAAGCUAAAUAUUGGCGAGAGACCGAUAGCGAACAAGUACAGUGAUGGAAAGAUGAAAAGAACUUUGAAAAGAGAGUGAAAAAGUACGUGAAAUUGUUGAAAGGGAAGGGCAUUUGAUCAGACAUGGUGUUUUGUGCCCUCUGCUCCUUGUGGGUAGGGGAAUCUCGCAUUUCACUGGGCCAGCAUCAGUUUUGGUGGCAGGAUAAAUCCAUAGGAAUGUAGCUUGCCUCGGUAAGUAUUAUAGCCUGUGGGAAUACUGCCAGCUGGGACUGAGGACUGCGACGUAAGUCAAGGAUGCUGGCAUAAUGGUUAUAUGCCGCUCGUCUUGAA
rnacentral:rRNA from 1 species